rnacentral:tRNA from 1 species
CCAAUUAUGGCUCAGACGGUAAAGCAUCUGCCUGCAAUGCUGGAGACCCGGGUUUGAUUCCUGGGUUGGG